GGCCCUAAGGCCACCAUCAGUGUCACAACUAGGGAAGGUGGCAGCCCUGAGUCAUAGGACAGAGUCCAUAGUACCUGGCGUGCAGAUCAGAAGCAGGUGAAAGCAGAUCAGGCUAGCAGGGACUGGCCUGGCAAAUGGAAAACCAACUCCCUUUCUGCAAAUGCACAGGAGGAAGGUGACGUGUGUCAGCGGAAGCAGAGAGGCAGACUUUGCUGCAGCAGUCCGUGACCGGUGACCUGGUUUGGCAGAAGAAAAGGAAGUCUUUGUUCUGCAAGGAGACCUUCCACGCUAUACAAGAAUUCUUGAAGAAUGUGAAUCGCCGCUGGAAUGAACGUGGUAACAGGAGCUGAGAUGUCAGCAGUGUGGGACAGGAAGGAGAGCUGAAGCUGGGAUGUCUGGACUACGGAUUUGGAUGGGGGAGAAAAUGUUGAUGGACUUUGAUAUCAGAACCUCCUUCAGGAGGCUAAAAUGGAGCAGGGGAGAAGGCAGAGGAUCAAAUAGCAGUUGGAUGGGAGUUAUGUCCGGCUUUCCCAGCUGCAGAAGAAGCGGUCCAGGCCAGCUGCCCCUGCUGCCCUGCUACUGACCAGCAAAGAGGAAGAUAGAAGACUUGAAAGAAGCCAGAAACACAGCAGGAAUCCUCAUGCUGGGAGCAUAAAGGAGAGGAAGACGGCUUUGAACAAACCAAACAAAACAAAAGGAACAUUGUACGAGGCAAGGUGCUGCAUGUCUGUAAUCCCAGCACUCCAGAACCAGAGGCAGGAGGAUUGCCACAAGUCCGAAACUAAUCUGGUUUAUAUAACGAGUUCCAGGACAAAAUAGCAAGACCCUAAAACAAAUCAUUGUGUUUGUGUGUGUGUUGUAUGUGUGGUGAAUAGGGGUGUGGAAGGGAAGUGUGGGGCAUCAACCAAGAUUUGUAUCUAGAACCCACAAGUGGAAGUUCUAGAACACCCUUGGUGCUCAGCGGAGACAUGUGGGCCUCCUUAGUCUAUGGGACAUAGAUUCUAGUUAGACUAGCUUAGGGUUGGUUGUCACAGCCCCAGGUCACGAGACUCCUCUUCAGCAGGAGUCCCUAAUAGCAUGAUCCUCGGUUUCUCCUGUGCUGGAUGCAUUCUGUGGGGCUGUGGGCCUGGGGUAUGACAUACUCUGUGCCAUAGGACUGCCCUCCACAUUCAUGGCUUAACUUGAUUUAUGCUGAGAGGCUGCUUAUGUAGCAGUGGCGUCUUAGAGAAAGUCUAUGUUGGCAGCCAGCCUUGAGGCUGGAAUUCUUGUGGGAAAAGGAAGUCAUGGCCUCAAAAAGACUUCUGUUACAGAGUCAGUGCUGGGGCCAGGCGAGCAGAGCAGUUAACCUAUCUUUACCCAGAUGGUCCUAGGACUCUAAUGAUCUGGGACUCCAGGCUGCCCAGACAUGCCCAGAGUAGGCACGAAGGGAAAUGGCAGAAGGGUUUCUUUUUCAAAGACCUAACUUAUGGCAUGGGAAAGAUGGAUCAGUGGUUAAGAACACUGGCUGCUCUUUCAGAGGACCCACAUUCAAUUCCCAGAACCUACAUGGUAGUGUAGAUGGA